rnacentral:rRNA from 1 species
GGGUAGUUUGACUGGGGCGGUCUCCUCCCAAAGAGUAACGGAGGAGCACGAAGGUGGGCUAAUCACGGUUGGACAUCGUGAGGUUAGUGCAAUGGCAUAAGCCCGCUUAACUGCGAGAAUGACGGUUCGAGCAGGUGCGAAAGCAGGUCAUAGUGAUCCGGUGGUUCUGUAUGGAAGGGCCAUCGCUCAACGGAUAAAAGGUACUCCGGGGAUAACAGGCUGAUACCGCCCAAGAGUUCAUAUCGACGGCGGUGUUUGGCACCUCGAUGUCGGCUCAUCACAUCCUGGGGCUGAAGUCGGUCCCAAGGGUAUGGCUGUUCGCCAUUUAAAGUGGUACGCGAGCUGGGUUUAGAACGUCGUGAGACAGUUCGGUCCCUAUCUGCCGUGGGCGUUGGAAGAUUGAAGGGGGCUGCUCCUAGUACGAGAGGACCGGAGUGGACGAACCUCUGGUGUUCGGGUUGUGUCGCCAGACGCAUUG